rnacentral:lncRNA from 1 species
UUUUCUCUAAGUUAAUUUUUUUAAAAUUGUUUAAUAACACUGUAGUGGCCCAAUUUCGCCCAGGCCCAUACCAAAAUAAAAAGUAAACAAACAAAUUAAAUACAAGUCCAUCCUACAGCAGCCCAAUACAAGCCCAAAUAUUUUUUUUUCAGAAACAACAAACCCUAGGGUACCCCUUGCACUGCAGCCCCACGUUCAGCAUCCCUCCACCAUGCACGUAGGCACAUCAGGCAUGACCCCCAGCCCGCGUUGCACGCCCCACGUUGUGCACUCCUCCUUCACGUCCUCACAGCACCUGCGAUUUGAGCAAAGAAAUAGGCAGAAACUGCUUGUAUUUUGGCUAUAAAUCCUUCGAAUUUUUUCAUUGUAAAGGGGGGAUUUUUGACCCUUUUUUUUUCAGAGAAAUAGAAUAUGGAUACAAUAGCAAUAUACAAGGAAAACAUUAAAAUACAGAGAAAUCAAAUCAAUUGAAAAAGGUUGCGGUUAUUCCUUUUCUAAUUUAUCUUGUUUUUUUCUCUUCUUUUUUUAGUGUGUUCUUACUUUGUGAUUGCAAAAAAAUAACAGAAUAAGGAAGGAAGAGGGCUUACCAGAACACGGCCUUGAAUCAAGGUUGAAAACCCAUUUUUUAAGUGCUGCUAGCCACCGAGUGUGGUGGUGUUUCAGUUUUGCGGUGGGGGGAAAGAACCAAUCGGCGCAUGGAGAUUGGGAUGUAGCCUUAGCAGAGCAAGAAUGGGAACGCUUUUUUUUAAUUUGAUGCAAAUGGUUUUGGGCAAACAAAAUGGUUUAAUAUUUUAUGUAUAAUAAAAUGGUGUUGUUUGGGUUAAAUGGGUAGGAUCUGCACAUUCUAGCCUAAAAUGGGAAAUUUCAUGAUCAAUCCCCAUCUUUUGCACCGCUAUUUAAUUAGGCUCUAUUCAUUUUUCUUAUUUGUUUUUAAAUUUUUGCCCGGGAAUUUGGUGUCAAUUACAUUUUAGUCCGCAUUGAAGCACCGUGUUUUGGAGAUUUGGGUUAUUUUCAUUUUUAAUCCUCGCUCGUUUGUGCAC